rnacentral:rRNA from 1 species
GAUGAACGCUGGCGGCGUGCCUAAUACAUGCAAGUCGAGCGAACGGACGAGAAGCUUGCUUCUCUGAUGUUAGCGGCGGACGGGUGAGUAACACGUGGAUAACCUACCUAUAAGACUGGGAUAACUUCGGGAAACCGGAGCUAAUACCGGAUAAUAUUUUGAACCGCAUGGUUCAAAAGUGAAAGACGGUCUUGCUGUCACUUAUAGAUGGAUCCGCGCUGCAUUAGCGAGUUGGUAAGGUAACGGCUUACCAAGGCAACGAUGCAUAGCCGACCUGAGAGGGUGAUCGGCCACACUGGAACUGAGACACGGUCCAGACUCCUACGGGAGGCAGCAGUAGGGAAUCUUCCGCAAUGGGCGAAAGCCUGACGGAGCAACGCCGCGUGAGUGAUGAAGGUCUUCGGAGCGUAAAACUCUGUUAUUAGGGAAGAACAUAUGUGUAAGUAACUGUGCACAUCUUGACGGUACCUAAUCAGAAAGCCACGGCUAACUACGUG